rnacentral:rRNA from 1 species
AUGAUGCCUUUUGUUGUUGAAUUGCUCAUGUUCCUGGCCUGCUUAUGUGUGUUAGAAUCCUUUCCUUCACCGUCUCACACUUGGAUAGCCCUUCCUGUCAUAAUUGAUAGGGUUUGUGUGCUAAGCAAUACAUGGCAAUUAGGUGCUUCACUUCUUAGUUAUAGUAGAUGCUCUGUUUCCUGUGAGGCUGAGAUGUGCACAUAUAAGUUUGCAAGUGAUGUAAGAUGUAUGCUGCAUAUAAGUUUUGCUCAAGUAACUAUGCCGUUUCAUGUCAAGGCCAAACAUUCUUUUCUCAAGAGAGCACAAAUUUCCCUGAUGCACGCAUACUUGUAUAUGAUCUGCAAUAUGCUGAAUUCGCUCCUGUUGCUUGCAUACAUAUGA